rnacentral:lncRNA from 1 species
CGAUUGAUUCUAAAGUCUAUAAAUAAGCUAUUGGGCUUCUCUAACAGAUCAAGCAUCAUAAGAAUACAUGUUUGAGAAACCCUAGAGGCUUGGAUUUCAUCUAAAACCUAUUUUCUACAUAUUAGCCUCUUUUAGGUCAAAUCGGAAUAUUGUAAUUUGAUAUCUAUAUGCCGAUUUGAUCUCCGCUUCGCUUGGAGUUUCUUUCUUGGUUUUCUACGAUACUCCUAAGCGAAGGAUCACCAUAAUCAUGAUGCUCUUCAUGACGGCGUCGUGGAUUCGGCGUAUUUGACGGCGGUUCGUGGAUUCGGAUCGUGGGCUCGUGGAUUCGAGUGGCGUCGUGGAUUCGGCGUGAUUGAAGCUUCGUGGAUUCGAAGUGGAGGCGUUCGUGGAUUCGGACGUGAGGGCGUGGACAACCCGGAGGGUAGCGCGAAGAUUCAUAGGAGGUUAAGAGAGGUUGAGUCCGUGGAGUCGGUAAUCACCUUGUAAUCUUUUCUCUUAGUGAAUUAUUUUUUCGCGUGUUGGUCCCGUGGGUUUUUCUCCAAGUUGGAGUUUUCCCACGUAAAUCUCGGUGUGCUUUUUAUUUUCCGCAUUUAUUUUUAUUGCAUCGAGAUUUGUGGUUUUUGGCCGUUAAACCUAUUCACCCCCCUCUAGGUGAUAGAUACAAUCUAGAUAGAUCCUUGGGCUCCUCAAAACUUUCAAUUGGUAUCAGAGCGGGAUCUAGAUAAAUUGUUAUCUAAUGGCCGAAGGUGGUAACAUUAAUCGACCUCCGCUCUUCGACGGCACGAAUUAUGCCUAUUGGAAAGUUCGCAUGAGAGCUUUUCUAAUUGCAAUCGAUGAGCGGGUUUGGAAAGCUAUUGAAUUUGGUUGGGAGCACCCUACCGAAGUUGUCAAUAACGCUACCGUUCCUAAACCACGGAACAAGUGGACAAAAGAUGAAAACGAGUCAUCUUCGUUUAACGGUAAAGGAAUUAAUGCUUUAUUCAACGCUUUAUCGCAAACGGAGUUUACUCGGGUUUCGGCAUGCGAAACGGCAAAGGAAAUUUGGGAUACUCUACAAAUUACACAUGAGGGUACUAGUUUAGUAAAAAUUCAAAAGCUCCAAAUGUUGACUAGUCAAUUUGAUUCUAUUCGUAUGGAGGAGCAUGAAUCUUUUACCGAUUACUACACUAGGCUUCAAGAUAUCAUUAAUACAUGUGCUAAUUUGGGAGAGAAAAUCCCGGAUUCUAAAGUUGUUCGUAAAAUUCUUCGAACUCUUCCGGAACGUUUUCGGGCUAAAGUAGCCGCGAUCGAAACGGUCAAACAUCCGGACGAGAUGAAAGUCGAGGAAUUAGUAGGUGCUUUACAAACUUACGAAAUGACCUUUCCUACUAAUCAAUCUUCUUCCAAGUCUUCUUCUAAAAGCACAGGUGUUGCAUUGAAAUCUACAAAGGAGAAGGACGAAGACUCGAGUUCCGACGAUGAUUUAUCAAUUGCGGACUUUGAACAACAAUUGGCGCUUCUUACGAAGAAGUUUCGUCGAAAUUUUCGGAACAAGAAUAGAUUGGACAAGGCUUCAUCAUCUAAGCGACAAUCUUUGUCUAAAUCAUCUUCAUCUUCAAAGUCUAAGGAUAAAAACCGUGCAAAGUCUUCAAAGGAAAAGGAUGUAUUUGAAGGCGAGAUCCAAUGCUUCAAGUGCAAAGGCUACGGCCACAUUGCGACGGAUUGUCCUUCAAAGAAGACGUAUAGACAAAAGGCUAUGCAAGCAAAGACGUGGGAUGAUUCAACAUCAAGUGAAUCAUCGUCAAGUGACGAAGAAAAGAAUGAUCAAAUUGCCUUAUUUGCUAAUACUCCUUCGUCGAAUGUUGUGUGUUUAUCCUCUUUUGCUACUAACUCCAAUAUUUCUCUUUCUUCACAUGAUUCAUCGAGCAACAAUGGCGAAAGUGAGGAGGAAUCAAACGACGACGACAUAGCGGAAGCGUACAAUCAACUUCUCAUUGAAUCAAAGAAGAUGGCUAAACUCAACAAGAAGUUGAGACGUCGUUUGUUGGAACUUGAGGAGGAAAACAACAACGUAAAGAAUUUGAAUAAGGUUCUUGAGGAGGAAAGGGAUUCAAACUUGAAGAUUAAUUCGGACCUCCAAGAGAAGCUUAAUGAUGCGGAAUCAACGAUCAAAUCUUCUAACGACAAGAUUGGAUUUUUGGAGCAACAAUUCGAGGAAUCGCACACAUCCAAUAAGUCGUUGAUCGAUCAAGUUCGUCAACUCCAAUCCGAUCUUCAACAAUUUUCUUCGGGAUCAAAGAAGUUGGACAAAAUGCUUGGAUUGGGUCAAACGAGCAAAUUGGGCCUUGGAUAUGAACGGACAUAUGUUGAGAAGGAUCAAACGGCGACAUCUAAAGUCUCAACAACUUCAAAAGGCAAAGUGUGUCAUCGAUGUGGCAUCGAAGGACACAUCAAAAGGAAUUGCCCAAACAAAAAUGGCAAGUCACAAUCGGCAAAUUCAAAACAUCCAUCGGCGUCAUCUACUAUUCGACAUCCCCCACGGAAUCAAAAGCAAAAUAAUUUAAGUCGAGUGCCUCAAAAGAAUCGGACUUCUAAGCCUAAACGCCAAGUUCUACCUAAGCCUCAAGCGAAGAAAACACCAACGAUUGAUCAAAAAUCUAAGCAAACGGCACCAAACGUCGACAAGCCGAGAAAACCAAAGAUCCGACAAGUUUGGAUCCGGAAAGGUGAUAUCUUUCCUUGCUCCUCGUCUUAGUCAUUUUUGAUCUUUAGUGUAAUGCUUUGAUUGGUGCUUGUUGUUUAAUUUUAUUCAUUGCAUUACAUGUUUGAAUGAUUUUUGGUGCAUUGAAUUUUUGUUUAUUUAAAAAUCUUUUUGAGGAAGAGGUGUUUGGAAAAUUCAAAUCUUUGAGAAAGGAGAUGAUUGAGAAUCGUUUUUGGAGAGAAAGUUUUUUUUAAAAAAAAAAUUGUUUAAACGGGUUUUAUCUUCACAAUCAUAUUAAGUUAAAUUCAUAUUAAUUAUCGUCUUUACUCCACUAUUUAUUAUUUUGACGAUAAUUUAUUAUAUGAUUUCUUAUUGCAUAAAUUCAUCAAAAUUUUGAAAUCAAAUUUGAUUUUUUGGUGAUUAAUUCAUCUUGGUUGUGAGUGUUGGAUAUGAUGAAUGGAUAUUCUCUAAUUGACUAAAAUUCGUCAAAAUUAUUUUCAAUUGUGAGAUUGUCUAAUUUAGGGGGAGUUUGAAAUUGUUUAAAAAUAAAAAAAAAGAGAAAAAGAAACUCCUAUGUUUAAAAGAUGUGGAAAGAGUUACAUCCAAAAGGAGUGUGAAAACUACCACCACAUGUAGGAAAGAGCUACCACCCCGGUCGUCCGGCAAGUGUGUGAAGCUACCACAUGGAAUUUAAUUGAAAAAGCCGAAAAAGGUUGAAAAAAAAUAAAUAUAAGUAUAUUAGAAUUUUCGGAGUUAUAAGGUGGUAAGUUGAAAAGAUGCUCAAAGAGCCACCCCCGGUGCCAUAUUAGUUAAAUCUCUAUUUUGAACGUGUUACGACAAAUUGGUGUCAAUUUUUGUUGAAUUUCUAAAAAUCAUUUUUCAUCAACUUACAUCUUGAUGGUUUUGAAUCAUUAAAUUAUUUUUGAUAAUGAAAUUUUGAUGUUUUGAUGUAUUUUGAAAUUUUAUAAUAUCUUAUUGUCAUUAUAAUGAUUCUUGGAGUAAAAGCCUUAAUUUAUUUGAAAUUAAUUUAAUUUGAUGGAUUUUUAAAGCAAAUUUUUCGAAAUCUGAGAUCGUUCGUCGAGCUUAGUCUCUCUCUUUCACUGCAUUUGCAUUUUAGGAUGAUGUUUUAGUUUCAGUUUUCUUUUAUGGCCUGUAGCUAUGACUAGACUACUCUCAUGUUUUUCUAGUAUGUUUUCUCUUUCUAUUUGCUUUCUUUUGGCAAUUUUUGACAAAAAGGGGGAGAGCGUAGAUGAAGGGGGAGAGCAUGGAUGAACAGGCAUUGAACUAAGGCAGAGGAUGAUGAGUCCAAGGACAAAGGGGGAGAUGUGAACAAAGGGGGAGAAGGUAUAAGAAUUUAGUGCUAAUCAUUUUUGAAUGAAUUGUUUUGCAGGAAAUCAAGACUUCAAGACUCCUAGUUGCGUCUAAGUCAUAGAGUCUGUUUUAGGAGUUUUGAUGUAAUUUUGAGUUUCAAAUUGUAUUUGGAUUACACGCGAGGGGUUCGAUGUUUUGGUGAUGACAUUGAACUUCGUUUUUUCUUUAAAUUGUAAUUUGUGAGUUUGUGUGUGUUUUGUCACGAAAUUGCCAAAGGGGGAGAUUGUUAGGUCCUAUGUGUUGGCAAGUUUCGUGGGUCGAGUCGGAGUCUUGAAGAAGUUCGGAGCGGAGUAUUGAAGAUCGAAGAAUCCAAGACUUCGAAGAAUCGGAAAGGACGCAAAACACGCAAAACUUGAAUCACGAUGCGUAGGUAAGUUUUAAAUCUUGUUUAUGGUGAUUCAUACUUAUUUAUAGAUCUUAGAAUCAUAUUUUCAAGUUGUAAUUGAUUAGAAAGUUUCUAAGAGUUUGUAAAACCCGAAACAAUGCAUUUUCAGCGAAAAUUGCAUUGCUGUACCGGUACAAGGGUUUUCUGUCCAGGGUACAGCCAUCAACGUUGCGCAGAAAGUUUGAUGGUUGUUCCGGUACAAGGUUUUUCUGUCCAGGGUACAGCCAUCAACGUUGCGCAGAAAGUUUGAUGGUUGUUCCGGUACAAGCUUCAUGCUGUACCGGUACAAGCCCUGUUCCGGAACAAGCUAAAGCUAUCCAGGGUACAGGAGCUUCGCAGAAAAAUCUUCCGUCAUGGUGUACCCUGGACAGCUUUCCUUGUUCCGGUACAAGGUGCUGAUUUUGGAAAGAAACUUUCUAAUCCUACUCUGUUUUGAUUCUAAAGUCUAUAAAUAAGCUAUAGGGGUUCUCUAACUGAUUAAGCAUCACAAGAAUACAUGUUUGAGAAACCCUAGAGGCUCGGAUUUCAUUCUAAACCUAUUUUCUACAAAUUAGCCUCUUUAGAUCAAAUCGAGAUAUCGUUUCGCAUUCUCUAUAUGUCGAUUUGAUCUCCGCUUCGCUUGGAGUUCUAUUCCCUGGUUUUCUACGAUACUCCAAAGCGAAGGAUCACCAUAUUCAUGAUAUUCUUCAUGGUGGCGUCGUGGAUUCGGCGUAUUUGACGGCGGUUCGUGGAUUCGGAUCGUGGGCUCGUGGAUUCGAGUGGCGUCGUGGAUUCGGCGUGAUUGAAGCUUCGUGGAUUCGAAGUGGAGGCGUUCGUGGAUUCGGACGUGAGGGCGUGGACAACCCGGAGGGUAGCGCGAAGAUUCAUAGGAGGUUAAGAGAGGUUAAGUCCGUGGAGUCGGUAAUCACCUUGUAAUCUUUUCUCUUAGUGAAUUGUUUUUUCGCGUGUUGGUCCCGUGGGUUUUUCUCCAAGUUGGAGUUUUCCCACGUAAAUCUCGGUGUGCUUUUUAUUUUCCGCAUUUAUUUUUAUUGCAUCGAGAUUUGUGGUUUUUUG